UUCAGUUGUUGGUGGAUUAAUUGCUUUCACCACGUGUCUCCCAAAUAUAAUUGUAUUAGGCACGGAAGAAUGCUAUGGUGUGGUCUUUAACCUCAGUUUUAAACAGAUCCCACUUGACACCAAUAUCAUUG